rnacentral:rRNA from 1 species
AGUCGAGCGGAUGAAGAGAGCUUGCUUUCUGAUUCAGCGGCGGACGGGUGAGUAAUGCCCAGGAAUCUGCCUGAUAGUGGGGGACAACGUUUCGAAAGGAACGCUAAUACCGCAUACGUCCUACGGGAGAAAGCAGGGGACCUUCGGGCCUUGCGCUAUCAGAUGAGCCUAGGUCGGAUUAGCUAGUUGGUGAGGUAACGGCUCACCAAGGCGACGAUCCGUAACUGGUCUGAGAGGAUGAUCAGUCACACUGGAACUGAGACACGGUCCAGACUCCUACGGGAGGCAGCAGUGGGGAAUAUUGGACAAUGGGCGAAAGCCUGAUCCAGCCGUGCCGCGUGUGUGAAGAAGGUCUUCGGAUUGUAAAGCACUUUAAGUUGGGAGGAAGGGCAUUAACCUAAUACGUUAGUGUUUUGACGUUACCGACAGAAUAAGCACCGGCUAACUUCGUGCCAGCAGCCGCGGUAAUACGAAGGGUGCAAGCGUUAAUCGGAAUCACUGGGCGUAAAGCGCGCGUAGGUGGUUUGUUAAGUUGAAUGUGAAAGCCCCGGGCUCAACCUGGGAACUGCAUCCAGAACUGGCAAGCUAGAGUAUGGCAGAGGGUGGUGGAAUUUCCUGUGUAGCGGUGAAAUGCGUAGAUAUAGGAAGGAACACCAGUGGCGAAGGCGACCACCUGGGCUAAUACUGACACUGAGGUGCGAAAGCGUGGGGAGCAAACAGGAUUAGAUACCCUGGUAGUCCACGCCGUAAACGAUGUCGACUAGCCGUUGGGAUCCUUGAGAUCUUAGUGGCGCAGCUAACGCAUUAAGUCGACCGCCUGGGGAGUACGGCCGCAAGGUUAAAACUCAAUGAAUUGACGGGGGCCCGCACAAGCGGUGGAGCAUGUGGUUUAAUUCGAAGUAACGCGAAGAACCUUACCAGGCCUUGACAUGCAGAGAACUUUCCAGA